rnacentral:rRNA from 1 species
UACGAAGGGGGCUAGCGUUGUUCGGAAUUACUGGGCGUAAAGCGUGCGCAGGCGGCUAUCCAAGUCAGUGGUGAAAGCCCGGAGCUCAACUCCGGAAUUGCCAUUGAAACUGUUUAGCUCGAGUACGAGAGAGGUGAGUGGAAUUCCCAGUGUAGAGGUGAAAUUCGUAGAUAUUCGGAGGAACACCAGUGGCGAAGGCGGCUCACUGGUCCGGUACUGACGCUGAGGUGCGAAAGCGUGGGGAGCAAACAGG